UACGGGGGGGGCAAGCGUUGUUCGGAAUUACUGGGCGUAAGGGGCCAGUAGGCGGCCAACUAAGUCCGACGUGAAAUCCCAAGGCUUAACCGUGGAACUGCGUCGGAUACUGGAUGGCUUGAAUUCGGGAGAGGGAUGCAGAAUUCCAGGUGUAGCGGUGAAAUGCGUAGAUAUCUGGAGGAAUACCGGUGGCGAAGGCGGCAUCCUGGACCGACAUUGACGCUGAACGGCGAAAGCUAGGGGAGCAAACGGG
rnacentral:rRNA from 1 species